GACGAACGCUGGCGGCGUGCUUAACACAUGCAAGUCGAGCGGUAAGGCUCCUUCGGGAGUACACGAGCGGCGAACGGGUGAGUAACACGUGAGCAAUCUGCCCUUCACACGGGGAUAACCCUUGGAAACGAGAGCUAAUACCCGAUACGACCACUUCAGGCAUCUGAUGGUGGUGGAAAGUUCCGGCGGUGAAGGAUGAGCUCGCGGCCUAUCAGCUUGUUGGUGGGGUAACGGCCCACCAAGGCAACGACGGGUAGCCGGCCUGAGAGGGUGACCGGCCACACUGGGACUGAGACACGGCCCAGACUCCUACGGGAGGCAGCAGUGGGGAAUAUUGGACAAUGGGCGAAAGCCUGAUCCAGCAACGCCGCGUGAGGGAUGACGGCCUUCGGGUUGUAAACCUCUUUCAGCAGGGACGAAGCGCAAGUGACGGUACCUGCAGAAGAAGCACCGGCCAACUACGUGCCAGCAGCCGCGGUAA
rnacentral:rRNA from 1 species